UUGCUCACUUCAGUGGCACAUGUACUCAAAUUGGAAUGGUAGAAGAUUAGCAUGGCCUCUGUGCAAAGAUGACAUACAAAUUGGUGAAGUGUUAUAUAUUUUU